CCUAUAUCUAUAUAACCAUGGUAUAUUCGUGUGUAUUGUUAUCCGAGGUGGAAUUUUUUCAUUUUUUUGAGUUUUUUUUUUCUAAAAAAUAUCAAUUCAAGGGUCUUUCUGUGGCACUCAUCUUCUCCCUUUUCUUCUCUUUCUUUAUUUACGCUGUCCAUUUUUCUCUUUCUCUUAUUCUCAUUUUAAUCCCAGUUUUCUUUCUCUCUCAAAAAUGAAUGCAUAUCUCAUUCUUUGCAUGUGAAAUUAAUCCAUGUUCAAUAUCACUCUGGGUCCAUUUUCUUUUCUUCUCUGGAAUUUCAAUCCAUCUCUUAUAGUUGUGAACCAUCAAACGCUCUUUAGGGAUUAUGAUGGAAAUCUGUCGAGUUGAAGAGAGGCGCUGAGGAGGAACGAUCAAUUGUCGUGAUGAGAUUCAACAACAGAUUCUUCAGGAGAGAGCAAGAGCGCGCUUAACAUCUGGGUGGACAAGAUGAGAAUCGUUCAUGAGUUCUUUCUCUCUCUAGAAUCUGCACUCUAGAUCAGAAGAACACACUCAAUUUCAUCGGAAGAACCUUUUCAUUCUCUGUUCCAUCAGCUUCGGUUUUCUUGUGUCCGCACAAUGGAGUGGUACGACCGGUCCAGUUAGGGUUCCCGAUCUGAUCCAUCGCCGGAGUGGACUGGAACUCGUCUCGAAGAGCCGGUGUGGCAAAUUGGGUUGGAUGCUGAAAAGGAAUCUUAUCCCCAAAGGCCUGGUGAGGCUGAUUGUAUCUACUAUUUGAGGACUGGAUUCUGUGGCUAUGGUUUUCGCUGUCGUUUCAACCAUCCCCGUGACUAGGUCGAGGUUGUUGGUGCUGUUGCUAAGACUAGAGGAGGGGAGUACUCGGAGCGAAUUGGCCAGCCUUUAUGCCAGUAUUACAUGAAGACAGGGUCAUGCAAAUAUGGUUCUUCCUUCAAGUACAACAAUCCUAGGCAGGCUGGAGGCUCUGCUACCCCUAUGUCACUAAAUUAUAAACGUGGAGGAGAUGAAGAUGAGUUUUAUAUCUCCAUGUUUUCAAGUUGUGGAUGCAUUUGUGUGCUGUACGUUUAUUUUCCUGAGAGUAUUCUGAGAUAUGCUCUAUGACCAUGUUGCUUGGUAACUCUGUUUUGGUUCCUUUUUCUCUUUCAUGGUUAAUUUUAAUUGCUUUUAAUGAUAGUUAUAAGGCAUCAUACUGUUCAAAUGGAAAAAGACAAAUGAGAAUCAAAAUAAAAUACAUGAAUAGAAGAUAUGGUAUGUAUUAUGUAAGCUCUUCUUUAUUUGUUUGAUUAUAAGCUUUAGGCUAUUCCUUUUUCUAAUUAGUUUGUGAGGACCUUUUAUUUGAUAGAAAAUGGUAUAUAGAAAUACUAGCUUUACUUGAUUUAAAUUCUGUAACAUGCUACCACACAGAGCUUUACGCUUAAGCCGUUAAACAGAGGUGGUGUGGUAUUACGGCCUUUGAAAUAAAAUAUAUGCAUAUAGUAGUAGAAAGAACAUAAUAACUAGGAGCCUUGAAAAACAGGUGAAACAAAGUUCGCAAAAUAAAAAGCGCAACGCUCAGGAAACAAGAUAACUUGCGUGCGAAGAAACCUACAGAUCAUAGGUAUAAAGAGAUAGAAAGAGAGAAUAGAGAGUCAAAGAUACAGAAUAACUAGCUCCUAACUUGGCUGGCCGGAGAAUAUUUACAUACAUAUAUAUAUCUCCCAUCAACCCAAAAUACAAAGAUAAAACCUUAACUCUCCUUAAACCUCUAAGAGGAACAAAAUAAACAAGUUAUUCAGAGAGAAAGCUAAGUGCAUACAUAUAUACAUAAACUGUAUAGCAAAAGAAACCCAGAAACUACUCCGCGUUAGAAGUUCAGAUACCUACCGAGGAGCCUCCCGACCUGCAUUUGAAAAAUACCAACACAGUAUGGGGUGAGAACCAGAUGUUCUCAGCAUGGUAAAGGUGCCACACACAUAAUAUAUAAGGUCCUGGGAAUGCAAGAGGCAAUCCUAGAACGCCGAUACUCAGAUUAUAAAGCUUAAAAUACUAAACAGAAACCAUAAAAAGGGGUAGGUAUCUAGGGAAAAUCUAAACUCAGCUUAACUUAAUCUUAACCUCAUGUUGACCACCUUUUCUCCAUUCUUCUAUCUCCAGUGAGUUUGCACAAACAGACAAACAGACAAUUGUAAGCACAGGUAGGAGACAAGAAGUGCAAGUAACAAAUAUAGCAAUUAACAAAGUAUAUAUAGUUAGGCACUCCCAAAUAAUGCAUAGCGAACAAACAAACAUAAUGCACAUAAUGUAUGCCUGUCCUAUGGCUGAUGAGGCUCAUCUGUCGGUUAUCAAGUCAACCCGACAAGUCUGAAACCCUUGGACUGUCCCUUGUCGCGCAUCCCCAUGA